GGAUUAGAUACCCUGGUAGUCCACGCCGUAAACGAUGUCUACUAGCCGUUGGGGAUUUAUUUCUUUAGUGGCGCAGCUAACGCGAUAAGUAGACCGCCUGGGGAGUACGGCCGCAAGGUUAAAACUCAAAUGAAUUGACGGGGGCCCGCACAAGCGGUGGAGCAUGUGGUUUAAUUCGAAGCAACGCGAAGAACCUUACCAACUCUUGACAUCCAGAGAACUUUGUAGAGAUACAUUGGUGCCUUCGGGAACUCUGAGACAGGUGCUGCAUGGCUGUCGUCAGCUCGUGUUG
rnacentral:rRNA from 1 species